CACGUAGGGCGCAAGCGUUGUCCGGAAUUAUUGGGCGUAAAGAGCUCGUAGGCGGUCUGUUGCGUCCGCUGUGAAAACUCGGGGCUUAACCCCGAGCCUGCAGUGGAUACGGGCAGACUAGAGGUAGGUAGGGAGAAUGGAAUUCCCGGUGUAGCGGUGAAAUGCGCAGAUAUCGGGAGGAACACCGGUGGCGAAGGCGGUUCUCUGGGCCUUACCUGACGCUGAGGAGCGAAAGC
rnacentral:rRNA from 1 species